CGGACCGGGGCACGAACCCGUGUCCCCUGCAUUGGCAGGCGGACUCUCAACCACUGCGCCACGAGGGAAGCCCUGCUUUGUAUUCUUGAUGUUUCAAUUACUGGGACAGAGCCUUGGAGUCCAGGCAGCCAGGGGUCCAGGCAACCGGGACAGGCCAAAUCCACAGAAGUUCACUACCCACUUCUCUAUGGCCUUGGUGGCCCUUGGAUCCCAGGCUUCAAUGUUUCUUUGCCACUAUUUCUGCAAAUAGUUAUUGAGUCCCUAUGAUGUUGCAAGUCACUGCACCGGGCACUGGAGAGACUUCAGUGAAUAAAACAGAUCAAGAAGCUCCUCUCAAGAUCUGGGGGAAUG